UACGUAGGGUGCGAGCGUUAAUCGGAAUUACUGGGCGUAAAGCGCGCGCAGGCGGCCUUGUAAGUCGGAUGUGAAAGCCCGGGGCUCAACCUCGGAAGCGCACCCGAUACUGCGAGGCUGGGGUACUGAAGAGGAGAGCGGAAUUCCCGGUGUAGAGGUGAAAUUCGUAGAUAUCGGGAGGAACACCAGUGGCGAAGGCGGCUCUCUGGGCAGAUACCGACGCUGAGGCGCGAAAGCGUGGGAAGCAAACAGG
rnacentral:rRNA from 1 species